rnacentral:rRNA from 1 species
GACAGAGGGUGCAAACGUUGCUCGGAAUUACUGGGCGUAAAGGGCGCGUAGGCGGCCUGUUAAGUCAGACGUGAAAUCCCCGGGCUCAACCCGGGAACUGCGUCUGAUACUGGUAGGCUUGAAUCCGGGAGAGGGAUGCGGAAUUCCAGGUGUAGCGGUGAAAUGCGUAGAUAUCUGGAGGAACACCGGUGGCGAAGGCGGCAUCCUGGACCGGCAUUGACGCUGAGGCGCGAAAGCCAGGGGAGCAAACGGG